rnacentral:misc_RNA from 1 species
UUUCCGUAGGGUGAGUUUUCCACCUUAUAUCUUGCGACGAAUAAUAUAUGCUAACUGUGUUUCUAGUGAACCUGCGGAAGGAUCAUUAGUGAACGCCCUCACGGGCUUAUAACUAUUCCAAACCUCUGUGAACCGUGCCCUUCGGGGCUAUUUUACAAACAUGGUGUAAUGAACGUCAUAUAUCAUAACAAAACA